GUAGGUGAACCUGCGGAAGGAUCAUUAUCACGUUAUCCACGUAUAAACCAUUGUGAACUGUACCCACCUUUGCAAUGCGGGAUUGGAGAGAGGAAUCUCUCUGAUUAUUCACCGUGUUGUAAAGCGUAUUUUCAAUCUAUUAACCAUUAUAACCCAAUCUUUAUAACAAUUAUGAACUAAACUUAUUUUAUACUCUUCGGAGAUAAAAUUCAUUACGAAACAAAAGAACAACUCUUAGCAACGGAUAUCU
rnacentral:misc_RNA from 1 species